GUACGGAGGGUGCACGCGUUAAUCGGAAUUACUGGGCGUAAAGCGCGCGUAGGCGGAUAUUUAAGUCUCAUGUGAAAGCCCUGGGCUCAACCUGGGAACUGCAUGGGAUACUGGGUAUCUAGAAUACAGUAGAGGGUAGUGGAAUUUCAGGUGUAGCGGUGAAAUGCGUAGAGAUCUGAAGGAACAUCAGUGGCGAAGGCGACUACCUGGACUGAUAUUGACGCUGAGGUGCGAAAGCGUGGGGAGCAAACGGGAUUAGAAACCCUAGUAGUCC
rnacentral:rRNA from 1 species